rnacentral:rRNA from 1 species
AUUGAACGCUGGCGGCAGGCUUAACACAUGCAAGUCGAGCGGGGGAAGGUAGCUUGCUACCGGACCUAGCGGCGGACGGGUGAGUAAUGCUUAGGAAUCUGCCUAUUAGUGGGGGACAACAUCUCGAAAGGGAUGCUAAUACCGCAUACGUCCUACGGGAGAAAGCAGGGGAUCUUCGGACCUUGCGCUAAUAGAUGAGCCUAAGUCGGAUUAGCUAGUUGGUGGGGUAAAGGCCUACCAAGGCGACGAUCUGUAGCGGGUCUGAGAGGAUGAUCCGCCACACUGGGACUGAGACACGGCCCAGACUCCUACGGGAGGCAGCAGUGGGGAAUAUUGGACAAUGGGGGGAACCCUGAUCCAGCCAUGCCGCGUGUGUGAAGAAGGCCUUAUGGUUGUAAAGCACUUUAAGCGAGGAGGAGGCUACUUUAGUUAAUACCUAGAGAUAGUGGACGUUACUCGCAGAAUAAGCACCGGCUAACUCUGUGCCAGCAGCCGCGGUAAUACAGAGGGUGCGAGCGUUAAUCGGAUUUACUGGGCGUAAAGCGUGCGUAGGCGGCUUAUUAAGUCGGAUGUGAAAUCCCCGAGCUUAACUUGGGAAUUGCAUUCGAUACUGGUGAGCUAGAGUAUGGGAGAGGAUGGUAGAAUUCCAGGUGUAGCGGUGAAAUGCGUAGAGAUCUGGAGGAAUACCGAUGGCGAAGGCAGCCAUCUGGCCUAAUACUGACGCUGAGGUACGAAAGCAUGGGGAGCAAACACGAUUAGAUACCCUGGUAGUCCAUGCCGUAAACGAUGUCUACUAGCCGUUGGGGCCUUUGAGGCUUUAG